AUUUACCAGCUAGGUGGUUGGCUAUAGAAUCUUUAACUGAUGGACUGUACACAACUAAAAGCGAUGUGUGGUCAUUUGCGGUUGUAAUGUGGGAAAUUGAAAGUAAAGGAUGCGUUCCAUAUUUGGAAUUUGAAGUGACGGAUCUUGUUAGACAAAUAAAUGAAGGAUAUCGCUUACUAAAACCUGAAGACACGUCAGAUGAAACAUAUGAACUGAUGCUUCAAUGUUGGAAAGCCUCCCCAGAUCUCCGCCCAACAUUUGAAGAAAUUGUUGACACCCUGAAAGGCGAAUUUUUGUGACAAGUGUUCCACUGAAAUGCACCUCUCAACAUUGGGCAUUUAGAUGGUCACAUGAAAUAAUUAUUUAAUUGCAUGAGG